UUUUUUUUUUUUGCUUUUCAGGGCCUAACCUGAGGCACAUGGAAAUUCCCAGGCUAGGGGUCGAACUGGAGGUACAGCUGCUGGCCUACACCACAGCCACAGUAACUCGGGAUCUGAGCCUCGUCUGUGACCUACACCACAGCCCAUGGCAAUACUGGAUCCCUGGCCCACUAAGCAAGGCCAUGGUCAAACCCGCAUCCUCAUGGAUACCAGUCAGAUUCAUUUUCGAUUCAUUGUGCCACAAUAGGAACUCCCAGAAAUUAUAAGUUUUUAACAAAGAAUUAAAAAAUAUAAUAAAGAACAACUAAACAGAAUAGAAGAAUACAAUAACUGAAGUAAAAUAUACAUUAAAAGGAAUCAAGUCCCACUUAUUUAGCAGACUAAAUGAGGCAGAAGAAUAGAACAGUGAGCUGGAAGUCAGAGUAGUAAUCACUGCCGACCAACAGAAAAAAAAAAAAUGAAAAGAAAAGGGUACAAGUUUUUUUCCCCCCAGCAUGUGGAAACUCUCAGCUCACGGACUGAACCCACACCACAGCAGCGACCCAAGCUACAGCAGUGACGGCAGAUCCUUAGCCUGUUAAGCCACCAGGGACCUGUGAAAAGAAGACAGUUCUGAGAGACCUUUGGGAUAACACCAAGUGCACCAAUAUUCACAUCAUUGGGGUCCCAAAAGAAGAGAGAUACAGCCUGAGAAAGUAACUGAGGAGAUAAUAUGUGAAAACUUCCUGAAUCUGGGAAAAGAAACAGUCACCCAAGUCCAGGAAGUGCAAGGAGUGCCACACAUGAUUAACCCACAGAGGAACACACAAAGACACAGCGUAAUUAAAUGACAAAAUUAGGGAGUUCUUUGGUGGCACAGUGGGUUAAGGAUCUGGUGUUGCGAUGUUGCCACUGGUGUGGCUUGGGUUGCUGCUUCCAGGGCUGGCCAGGGAACUUCUGCAUGCCUUGGGCAAGGCCAAAAAAAAAAAAAAAGACAAAAAUUAAAGAUAAGGAGUUCCCAUCUGGCGCAGUGGAAACGAAUCCGACUAGGAACCAUGAGGUUUCAGGUUUGAUCCCUGAUGUCACUCAGUGGGUUAAGGGUCUGGCGUUGCCAUGAGUUGUGGUGUAGGUUGCAGACACGGCUUGGAUCCUGCAUCACUGUGGCUCUGGCGUAGGCCGGCAGCUACAGCUCCCAUGUGAUCCCUAGCCUGGGAACCUCCAUAUGCCCUGGGUGCGGCCCUAAAAAGACAAAAAAACAAACAAACAAACAAACAAAAGAACAAAAGAUAAAGAGAGACUAUGAAAAGCAACAAAUAACACAGGGGAACUCCCAUAAGGCUAUCAGCUGAUUUUUCAGCAUAAACUGCUGGCCAGAAUGGAGUGCACUUAAAGGGAUAUAUAUACUCGAGGUUAGGAAGCAGAAAAAUCUACAACCAAGAAUACUCUACCCAGCAAGGCUCUCAUUCAGAUUUGAAGGAGAAAUCAAAAGCUUUACAGGCAAUUGGAAGCUCUAAGAAUUCAGCACCACCAAACCAGCUUUACAACAAAUGCUGAAGGAAUUUUUCUAGACAUCAAAGAAGAAAAUUACGAAAUGAAAAAGUUUAUAUUUUUCUUUGCUAGCAGAAAACUAGGGGACAUGAAAUCUUAACGUGGCAAAUCACAAAAAGCGAUGCAGAUGCGAGCUGGUAACAGUAGUAAAGAAGGCAAUCAAACACAAAAAGGAUUUCAGCGUUUAGAAAGUAAGGACUAUUGACAAUGACAGCGAAAGAUGGUGUGGGAAGGACAAAGCUUGGCAAACUGUGAAGCGCUAUAAUUUAACUAUGGGGGGGCACCAGGGAGGAGAAGAAGCGGGUGAGAGUAAUUAGGCUUUGACCUCCUCUUUUUGUCCUAAGCUGUCUUGAGCCGGAGCCAUUAUAUUUGUCGAUGCAGGUCUACCUCGCCGCCUCAGUCUAGGCAACCGAAACCAAGCCUCAAACUCACCUUCGCCGGACGCCCCACAGCGAUAAAGUUCCCACAGUCAAGAACAACUUCCAGUGC
rnacentral:lncRNA from 1 species